rnacentral:rRNA from 1 species
GAUGAACGCUGGCGGCGUGCCUAAUACAUGCAAGUCGAGCGAACAGAUGAGGAUCUUGCUCCUCUGACGUUAGCGGCGGACGGGUGAGUAACACGUGGAUAACCUACCUAUAAGACUGGGAUAACUUCGGGAAACCGGAGCUAAUACCGGAUAAUAUAUUGAACCGCAUGGUUCAAUAGUGAAAGACGGUUUUGCUGUCACUUAUAGAUGGAUCCGCGCCGCAUUAGCUAGUUGGUAAGGUAACGGCUUACCAAGGCGACGAUGCGUAGCCGACCUGAGAGGGUGAUCGGCCACACUGGAACUGAGACACGGUCCAGACUCCUACGGGAGGCAGCAGUAGGGAAUCUUCCGCAAUGGGCGAAAGCCUGACGGAGCAACGCCGCGUGAGUGAUGAAGGUCUUCGGAUCGUAAAACUCUGUUAUUAGGGAAGAACAAAUGUGUAAGUAACUAUGCACGUCUUGACGGUACCUAAUCAGAAAGCCACGGCUAACUACGUG